rnacentral:rRNA from 1 species
UCAUUGCUAUCGGAGUCCGAUUUAGCCAUGCUAGUCGUGCGAGUUCAGACUCGCGGCAAAUAGCUCAGUAACACGUGGUCAAGCUACCCUGCAGAGAAGGAUAUCCUCGGGAAACUGAGGCCAAUACUUCAUAAGGUUCCUAAGCUGGAGUGCUGGGAACUGGAAACGUUCCGACGCUGCAGGAUGCGGCUGCGGUCGAUUAGGUAGACGGUGGGGUAACGGCCCACCGUGCCGAUAAUCGGUACGGGUUGUGAGAGCAAGAGCCCGGAGACGGAAUCUGAGACAAGAUUCCGGGCCCUACGGGGCGCAGCAGGCGCGAAACCUUUACACUGCACGCAAGUGCGAUAAGGGGACUCCGAGUGCGAGGGCAUAUAGUCCUCGCUUUUCUGUACCGUAGGAAGGUACAGGAAUAAGAGCUGGGCAAGACCGGUGCCAGCCGCCGCGGUAAUACCGGCAGCUCGAGUGAUGACCGAUUUUAUUGGGCCUAAAGCGUCCGUAGCUGGCCAGACAAGUCUGUCGGGAAAUCCAUCCGCUCAACGGAUGGGCGUCCGGCGGAAACUCUCUGGCUUGGGACCGGAAGGCUCGAGGGGUACGUCUGGGGUAGGAGUGAAAUCCUGUAAUCCUGGACGGACCACCGAUGGCGAAAGCACCUCGAGAAGACGGAUCCGACAGUGAGGGACGAAAGCUAGGGUCUCGAACCGGAUUAGAUACCCGGGUAGUCCUAGCCGUAAACGAUGUUCGCUAGGUGUGGCACAGGCUACGAGCCUGUGCUGUGCCGUAGGGAAGCCGAGAAGCGAACCGCCUGGGAAGUACGUCCGCAAGGAUGAAACUUAAAGGAAU